UUCACGGAGAGUUUGAUCCUGGCUCAGGACGAACGCUGGCGGCGUGCUUAACACAUGCAAGUCGAACGGUAAAGCCCUUCGGGGUGGAUCAG
rfam:Streptomyces glauciniger strain CGMCC 4.1858 genome assembly, contig: Ga0079895_109